UCCACUGCCGAGGAGCUGAUGAAGAUCUGC
rnacentral:piRNA from 1 species